UACGGAGGGUGCGAGCGUUAUCCGGAUUUAUUGGGUUUAAAGGGUGCGUAGGCGGGAUUUUAAGUCAGUGGUGAAAGCCUGCAGCUCAACUGCAGAACUGCCAUUGAUACUGGAAUUCUUGAAUGUGGUUGAAGUGGGCGGAAUAUGACAUGUAGCGGUGAAAUGCUUAGAUAUGUCAUAGAACACCGAUCGCGAAGGCAGCUCACUAAGCCACUAUUGACGCUGAGGCACGAAAGCGUGGGGAUCAAACAGG
rnacentral:rRNA from 1 species